AAUAAGAGAAGAGUCGAGCCAAACUAAAAGAGGAAACUAAUAUAAUCUCUCUGCAGAAUGCUGCAAAGCAACAUCGUCUAGAUCUGAAACAUAAGAUCAAGCAGAAGUUGGUUUGCUGCACUCUGCUGGGAGAUUAGAUUAGUUUCCUCUUCUAGUUUGACAGCCUCUUCUCUUAUU
rfam:Populus trichocarpa scaffold_2_contig_6, whole genome shotgun sequence.